rnacentral:rRNA from 1 species
AUUGAACGCUGGCGGCAGGCUUAACACAUGCAAGUCGAGCGGGGUGAUGGUGCUCGCACUAUCACUUAGCGGCGGACGGGUGAGUAAUGCUUAGGAAUCUGCCUAUUAGUGGGGGACAACAUCUCGAAAGGGAUGCUAAUACCGCAUACGUCCUACGGGAGAAAGCAGGGGAUCACUUGUGACCUUGCGCUAAUAGAUGAGCCUAAGUCGGAUUAGCUAGUUGGUGGGGUAAAGGCCUACCAAGGCGACGAUCUGUAGCGGGUCUGAGAGGAUGAUCCGCCACACUGGGACUGAGACACGGCCCAGACUCCUACGGGAGGCAGCAGUGGGGAAUAUUGGACAAUGGGGGGAACCCUGAUCCAGCCAUGCCGCGUGUGUGAAGAAGGCCUUAUGGUUGUAAAGCACUUUAAGCGAGGAGGAGGCUCUUUUGGUUAAUACCCAAGAUGAGUGGACGUUACUCGCAGAAUAGGCACCGGCUAACUCUGUGCCAGCCGCCGCAGUAA